CCUACGGGUGGCAGCAGUGGGGAAUAUUGCACAAUGGGGGAAACCCUGAUGCAGCGACGCCGCGUGAGCGAUGAAGUAUUUCGGUAUGUAAAGCUCUAUCAGCAGGGAAGAAAAUGACGGUACCUGACUAAGAAGCCCCGGCUAACUACGUGCCAGCAGCCGCGGUAAUACGUAGGGGGCAAGCGUUAUCCGGAUUUACUGGGUGUAAAGGGAGCGUAGACGGCAUCGCAAGCCAGGUGUGAAAGGCUGGGGCUUAACCCCAGGACUGCAUUUGAAACUGUGAAGCUAGAGUGCAGGAGAGGUAGGCGGAAUUCCUAGUGUAGCGGUGAAAUGCGUAGAUAUUAGGAGGAACACCAGUGGCGAAGGCGGCUUGCUGGACUAUGACUGACGUUGAGGCUCGAAAGCGUGGGGAGCAAACAGGAUUAGAUACCCUUGUAGUC
rnacentral:rRNA from 1 species